GGUUAAGCGACUAAGCGUACACGGUGGAUGCCCUGGCAGUCAGAGGCGAUGAAGGACGUGCUAAUCUGCGAUAAGCGUCGGUAAGGUGAUAUGAACCGUUAUAACCGGCGAUUUCCGAAUGGGGAAACCCAGUGUGUUUCGACACACUAUCAUUAACUGAAUCCAUAGGUUAAUGAGGCGAACCGGGGGAACUGAAACAUCUAAGUACCCCGAGGAAAAGAAAUCAACCGAGAUUCCCCCAGUAGCGGCGAGCGAACGGGGAGGAGCCCAGAGCCUGAAUCAGUGUGUGUGUUAGUGGAAGCGUCUGGAAAGGCGCGCGAUACAGGGUGACAGCCCCGUACACAAAAAUGCACAUACUGUGAGCUCGAUGAGUAGGGCGGGACACGUGGUAUCCUGUCUGAAUAUGGGGGGACCAUCCUCCAAGGCUAAAUACUCCUGACUGACCGAUAGUGAACCAGUACCGUGAGGGAAAGGCGAAAAGAACCCCGGCGAGGGGAGUGAAAAAGAACCUGAAACCGUGUACGUACAAGCAGUGGGAGCACGCUUCGGCGUGUGACUGCGUACCUUUUGUAUAAUGGGUCAGCGACUUAUAUUCUGUAGCAAGGUUAACCGAAUAGGGGAGCCGAAGGGAAACCGAGUCUUAACUGGGCGUUAAGUUGCAGGGUAUAGACCCGAAACCCGGUGAUCUAGCCAUGGGCAGGUUGAAGGUUGGGUAACACUAACUGGAGGACCGAACCGACUAAUGUUGAAAAAUUAGCGGAUGACUUGUGGCUGGGGGUGAAAGGCCAAUCAAACCGGGAGAUAGCUGGUUCUCCCCGAAAGCUAUUUAGGUAGCGCCUCGUGAAUUCAUCUCCGGGGGUAGAGCACUGUUUCGGCAAGGGGGUCAUCCCGACUUACCAACCCGAUGCAAACUGCGAAUACCGGAGAAUGUUAUCACGGGAGACACACGGCGGGUGCUAACGUCCGUCGUGAAGAGGGAAACAACCCAGACCGCCAGCUAAGGUCCCAAAGUCAUGGUUAAGUGGGAAACGAUGUGGGAAGGCCCAGACAGCCAGGAUGUUGGCUUAGAAGCAGCCAUCAUUUAAAGAAAGCGUAAUAGCUCACUGGUCGAGUCGGCCUGCGCGGAAGAUGUAACGGGGCUAAACCAUGCACCGAAGCUGCGGCAGCGACGCUUAUGCGUUGUUGGGUAGGGGAGCGUUCUGUAAGCCUGCGAAGGUGUACUGUGAGGUAUGCUGGAGGUAUCAGAAGUGCGAAUGCUGACAUAAGUAACGAUAAAGCGGGUGAAAAGCCCGCUCGCCGGAAGACCAAGGGUUCCUGUCCAACGUUAAUCGGGGCAGGGUGAGUCGACCCCUAAGGCGAGGCCGAAAGGCGUAGUCGAUGGGAAACAGGUUAAUAUUCCUGUACUUGGUGUUACUGCGAAGGGGGGACGGAGAAGGCUAUGUUGGCCGGGCGACGGUUGUCCCGGUUUAAGCGUGUAGGCUGGUUUUCCAGGCAAAUCCGGAAAAUCAAGGCUGAGGCGUGAUGACGAGGCACUACGGUGCUGAAGCAACAAAUGCCCUGCUUCCAGGAAAAGCCUCUAAGCAUCAGGUAACAUCAAAUCGUACCCCAAACCGACACAGGUGGUCAGGUAGAGAAUACCAAGGCGCUUGAGAGAACUCGGGUGAAGGAACUAGGCAAAAUGGUGCCGUAACUUCGGGAGAAGGCACGCUGAUAUGUAGGUGAAGUCCCUCGCGGAUGGAGCUGAAAUCAGUCGAAGAUACCAGCUGGCUGCAACUGUUUAUUAAAAACACAGCACUGUGCAAACACGAAAGUGGACGUAUACGGUGUGACGCCUGCCCGGUGCCGGAAGGUUAAUUGAUGGGGUCAGCGCAAGCGAAGCUCUUGAUCGAAGCCCCGGUAAACGGCGGCCGUAACUAUAACGGUCCUAAGGUAGCGAAAUUCCUUGUCGGGUAAGUUCCGACCUGCACGAAUGGCGUAAUGAUGGCCAGGCUGUCUCCACCCGAGACUCAGUGAAAUUGAACUCGCUGUGAAGAUGCAGUGUACCCGCGGCAAGACGGAAAGACCCCGUGAACCUUUACUAUAGCUUGACACUGAACAUUGAGCCUUGAUGUGUAGGAUAGGUGGGAGGCUUUGAAGUGUGGACGCCAGUCUGCAUGGAGCCGACCUUGAAAUACCACCCUUUAAUGUUUGAUGUUCUAACGUUGACCCGUAAUCCGGGUUGCGGACAGUGUCUGGUGGGUAGUUUGACUGGGGCGGUCUCCUCCUAAAGAGUAACGGAGGAGCACGAAGGUUGGCUAAUCCUGGUCGGACAUCAGGAGGUUAGUGCAAUGGCAUAAGCCAGCUUGACUGCGAGCGUGACGGCGCGAGCAGGUGCGAAAGCAGGUCAUAGUGAUCCGGUGGUUCUGAAUGGAAGGGCCAUCGCUCAACGGAUAAAAGGUACUCCGGGGAUAACAGGCUGAUACCGCCCAAGAGUUCAUAUCGACGGCGGUGUUUGGCACCUCGAUGUCGGCUCAUCACAUCCUGGGGCUGAAGUAGGUCCCAAGGGUAUGGCUGUUCGCCAUUUAAAGUGGUACGCGAGCUGGGUUUAGAACGUCGUGAGACAGUUCGGUCCCUAUCUGCCGUGGGCGCUGGAGAACUGAGGGGGGCUGCUCCUAGUACGAGAGGACCGGAGUGGACGCAUCACUGGUGUUCGGGUUGUCAUGCCAAUGGCACUGCCCGGUAGCUAAAUGCGGAAGAGAUAAGUGCUGAAAGCAUCUAAGCACGAAACUUGCCCCGAGAUGAGUUCUCCCUGACUCCUUGAGAGUCCUGAAGGAACGUUGAAGACGACGACGUUGAUAGGCCGGGUGUGUAAGCGCAGCGAUGCGUUGAGCUAACCGGUACUAAUGAACCGUGAGGCUUAACCUU
rnacentral:rRNA from 1 species